GGGGCGGAUGUAGCCAAGUGGAUUAAGGCAGUGGAUUGUGAAUUCACCAUCGCG
rnacentral:tRNA from 4 species